GGAUUGCCCUAGUAACGGCGAGUGAAGCGGCAACAGCUCAAAUUUGAAAUCUGGCCUUACGGUCCGAGUUGUAAUUUGCAGAGGAUGCUUCUGGCGACGUGCCUUCCGAGUUCCCUGGAACGGGACGCCAUAGAGGGUGAGAGCCCCGUCCGGUCGUGCACCUAGCCUCUGUGAAGCUCCUUCGACGAGUCGAGUAGUUUGGGAAUGCUGCUCUAAAUGGGAGGUAUACGUCUUCUAAAGCUAAAUACCGGCCAGAGACCGAUAGCGCACAAGUAGAGUGAUCGAAAGAUGAAAAGCACUUUGAAAAGAGGGUUAAAUAGUACGUGAAAUUGCUGAAAGGGAAGCGCUUAUGACCAGACUUGGGCUCGGUGAAUCAUCCGGCGUUCUCGCCGGUGCACUUUGCCGUCCCAGGCCAGCAUCAGUUCGCGCCGGGGGAUAAAGGUUUCGGGAAUGUGGCCCCCUAGGGGGUGUUAUAGCCCGUUGCGUAAUACCCUGGCGUGGACUGAGGUCCGCGCUCUGCAAGGAUGCUGGCGUAAUGGUCAUCAGUGACCCGUCUUGAAACACGGACCAAGGAGUCGUCUUCGUAUGCGAGUGUUCGGGUGUCAAACCCCUACGCGUAAUGAAAGUGAACGUAGGAGAGAGCUUCGGCGCAUCUCCGACCGAUCCUGAUGUUCUCGGAUGGAUUUGAGUAAGAGCAUACGGGGCCGGACCCGAAAGAAGGUGAACUAUGCCUGUAUAGGGUGAAGCCAGAGGAAACUCUGGUGGAGGCUCGCAGCGGUUCUGACGUGCAAAUCGAUCGUCAAAUAUGGGCAUGGGGGCGAAAA
rnacentral:rRNA from 1 species